rnacentral:rRNA from 1 species
ACGACUCUCGGCAACGGAUAUCUCGGCUCUUGCAUCGAUGAAGAACGUAGCGAAAUGCGAUACUUGGUGUGAAUUGCAGAAUCCCGUGAACCAUCGAGUCUUUGAACGCAAGUUGCGCCCGAAGCCACUAGGCCGAGGGCACGCCUGCCUGGGUGUCA